GGGUCAUUUGUCUUUUCUGUUAUUUAUGUUUCAUCAAGGUAUAUAUCAUGAUAUUCCACUUUCAUUUAUCAUUAUAUUCAUAUUCAUCUCCUAUAAACCCCAUAAUUUUCAUUUCAUCACUAAAUCCAAUAGAGUCCUAUAACUAACAUGUAUCUAAUAUAGGUAACGGGCCUCCGUUAUUUACCUAACCGCCAAUUGUUUGUCACGCAUGCGCACAUCAGUAGAGAGAUUAUACGUGAGGACGUAAAAUCUUUGUGUCUCGACUUAUUUAUUUAUUUGUGCUGUUUGCGUGCCCCUUUCAGGUAACCUAUGUACAUGUUUAGUUAUAUAAAGCAAUGUUCUUCAUUUUGCUAUUCAUCAUUUUCCAUAUUUCGUUGUAUUUUGAAAUUAUGCAUUUGUUGUAAUGCGCACAUCAGUAGAGAGAUUAUACGUGAGGACGUAAAAUCUUUGUGUCUCGACUUAUUUAUUUAUUUGUGCUGUUUGCGUGCCCCUUUCAGGUCACUAACAUACAGACCUGAAGAGAACCUACAAAUCCCGACUAUCUGAACGGGUAACAAAUUGGUGGCCAGUGUUACUUUGGGUCGACAUGUUACGGUACGAACAGAAAUAGGUGCGAAAGGGUACCGAAGUGGCAUGACGUCAGAGGGCAUUCCUCCAUUCAGCCAAUCAAAACGCCAGAAGUGGUGAAGCACAAAUUGUGCAUACGUCAUACAAUAGUUACACUUUCCACGGAUAUCCUCAGGAAUUUAUACAUGCAGUUUUGAAAAUCUAUUAAAUAUUUUAGAAUUGUGAAUAAUAUAUCCGGAUAUAAACUUCGUUAUCGGAUGCUCCUGUAUGCUUAAACUCUGCAUACAUUUUCUUAAAACUGAAUUGUGUUAGAGUUGGUUGUUGUUUGAAGCUGGUGUGUGUUGAAAGCCGAGAGAGUCACAGUCCCUACACAGAGUACACGGAGCUGCAUGAAGUAUUACAGUAACAUUUGGUGUUGGUGAGACUAAUAUUAACCCUCAGGACCAAGGAAUAGUAGUCGUACCAGAGUUAAACCAGCUUGGUUGUCAUCAACUGACUGGGUUACUUAGGCCCAUUACCUUGACUACCAGCUAUGAUGAUAGACAGCUUUCAUUUCAGACAGUAUGUUAGUGUAUUUGACACUUUUAAUAAGUGAGUGACUACAAUAAUUCAUUGUGUGAAUAGACGUAUAGUUGUAUUUUAUAGUCAUGUAUAGACAGCAAUUUGGAUCUUAAUUGGAUUUUUUUUUAUAACUCGGGCUGUUCUUUCAGUUUUUAAUUAUUCAUGCCGGAUAUCAAUUAGACAUAUUAAAUCUUCAAUACUUGAAGUACUGUGGAUAUGUGUGUAAUUAUUGUACUUGUGUACAAUCAGUCUUGCAUUUCAUUGUCAGUUGAUUAUGUUGCUGAAAUAAAACAACAAGAUAUAAGCUGUUACCAGACAAUAAAUUGAGUUUACCAUCUUUAUUCCAUGAGGAAUAAGGAAUUCAUAUAACCUGAAUUAUGAUAGUACUGCAGACUAUUAUAAUUCCCCACAUUUAAUCAAUUUCCAGUUCGGCAGUUAAACACCGAAUAUUUGGAAUUAAGGUGUUACAAACAUUUCCGUAUUAACAUACGCAAAUGUUCAUACCUUAUAUUGACAUAAAUCUCUUUAAAUUUCUCCAAGUUUAAAUGUUGGUGAAAAGUUGAGAUAUUGACUAUAAUUGUAGAGUAUAGACAGUACUGGCUCUUGUGCAUUCUCGUAAGUAAUGAUAAAAUAUAAUGUAGAAGUAGAGUAGUUGGACGACUAGAAAUGUCGGGACGACAUUUUACUGGAGGGGGGAGGAUGUCACGGGGUCAUUUGUCUUUUCUGUUAUUUAUGUUUCAUCAAGGUAUAUAUCAUGAUAUUCCACUUUCAUUUAUCAUUAUAUUCAUAUUCAUCUCCUAUAAACCCCAUAAUUUUCAUUUCAUCACUAAAUCCAAUAGAGUCCUAUAACUAACAUGUAUCUAAUAUAGGUGACGGGCCUCCGUUAUUUACCUAACCGCCAAUUGUUUGUCACGCAUGCGCACAUCAGUAGAGAGAUUAUACGUGAGGACGUAAAAUCUUUGUGUCUCGACUUAUUUAUUUAUUUGUGCUGUUUGCGUGCCCCUUUCAGGUAACCUAUGUACAUGUUUAGUUAUAUAAAGCAAUGUUCUUCAUUUUGCUAUUCAUCAUUUUCCAUAUUUCGUUGUAUUUUGAAAUUAUGCAUUUGUUGUAAUGCGCACAUCAGUAGAGAGAUUAUACGUGAGGACGUAAAA